rnacentral:tRNA from 1 species
GGAGAGUUGCCGGAGCGGUCGAACGGGGCAGUCUCGAAAACUGUUGAUCUGCAUUGCGGAUCCGAGGGUUCGAAUCCCUCACUCUCCG